GUCUGCACGUGAAACGGUAAGAACCGUCACAUAUAAUCAUAUAUGAAAUCACAUAACACUAUCAAGUUACAUUGCCUAACGCCUUAUCAUCUUCCACAACCACCGAAGGACCAUGUAUGACCUUAGAUUCACUCUUGCAGAUCCCAGACGACGGACCCUUGAAUUACAAUUUUAUGGGCGUUAAACACACGGCAAGCAUGUAGUAUGGAAUGAAACUUGAAGCACCUCGGGAGUUUCAUCACGAGUACCAUAGGCCGAUUCAUUUCCUGGAAUUCAGCAAUUUGGAGGAAACCGAAACUGCAGAAGGGGACCGUUAACACAUCUUCCCUCGAGGUCUGCUGCAGAACUUCUUUGUAGCGAUGUAUAUCCAUAGCUUGUAACUAGUGGAGUUUAGUUUUGGAGCAACGCAUAUACAGCAAGCGGAUGAUGGCCUCAUCUGCCCGUCUAAUUGAGUUUUCCACUCUUUCAGAGUACAAAUUCUUGUUUCACAUCGAUGUCCCAAAAACAACUGGUGACUUCAUCUAUGAAGGAAUGGAACGUCAGAGAUUUAUGGUACUUGCAUUAGUUCUUAUUAUCUUGAUUGGAGAACAGAAUAAUUGUUGGAAGUAAUUUGAAUAUGGUUAGUUGCAUUAGUAAUAUACUCUAUGCGUCAAUUACUAUUGCUUUUGAGAUCAGACUAAGGAUGUAAGGCCAGUUCCAGCCCAGCAUAUGCAAGGCCGGCAUGGCUCAUAUAGACCUUCCAGUUUCUAGUGUGGAUAUGGUCGAGAAAUCUCACUUCUAUGAAGGUGAUACACCAACAAAGGCUUCAACAGAUAAUCUAACUAUGCCAUGACCAUCACAAGAUUUCAUCGGAAAA